UACAGAGGGUGCGAGCGUUGUUCGGAAUUACUGGGCGUAAAGCGCGCGCAGGCGGCCUUUUAAGUCUGCUGUGAAAACUCGAGGCUCAACCUCGAGCUGUCGGUGGAAACUGUCUGGCUAGAGUCCGGAAGAGGAGAGUGGAAUUCCUGGUGUAGCGGUGAAAUGCGCAGAUAUCAGGAAGAACACCUAUGGCGAAGGCAGCUCUCUGGGACGGUACUGACGCUGAGACGCGAAAGCGUGGGGAGCGAACAGG
rnacentral:rRNA from 1 species